AAAAAUCUAAUGGUAGACCCUACCUCCUUCUCUCAUUUCCUCAUCCGUGCACCGCUUUGAUGGUUUGACCGAAAUUAUCCACGAGCGCCCAAAAAUCUCCGUCGGCCGAGUAUUUGCCGGGCUCCCAACGCCCUGUCGCUGCCCUGGGUUACCCGCGCCUGGGAUCCCUUCCGUCGGCGCGGCUCACCGCCCAGAGAGCUGCCAUGGCCGGCGCGUCGGGACGGGGGAACUCAGAUGGAGGGCUGCCUCCGCCCACAGAACAGCCAUGGCCAGCGCGUCAGGAUGGCAGCUCUCUGAUGGAGCGGCUGCCGCCCAUGAAAUCCGAGGAGAAUGCACGCGGCGGACUCCCUUCACACCUCCCUCUGCGCGUCGGUUUUCGGUCUACUUCUCCCCAUCGCCUGCAGCCAAGGUGGCCGGAGGUGAGAGGGACGAGGGCUGCCUCCAUAUUUGAGUUGCUUUCUCUUUCCAAUAAUUUUUUUCCUAUCCAUGGCGGGUGGGAGGAUUGACGGUGGAGGAGCUCUUCUCCUUGAUUCGUAUGUGGAGCCGCCAGAUCUUUUGUUUCCCAAUCUAGCACCAUCGUUUUUUCAGGGAGAUCUUUUGUUUCCCAAUCUAGCACCAUCGUUUUCCAGGGCCGGGGUCGGCUUUGGUUGUUGGUUUCUUCGGAGGCCGUCAUGCUGGUCCGGGCACGUAGUGUUUCCCAAUCUAGCACCAUCGUUUUCCAGGGCCGGGGUCGGCUUUGGUUGUUGGUUUCUUCGGAGGCCGUCAUGCUGGUCCGGGCACGUAGUGUGCCGCUAGCCUAGCAGUGCCAAGGUCGUCCUCGGUCUGCACACGGUGGGCGGUGGGCAUCAUGGACGCCUUCACCGUCUUCUCCGGCUUCCAUAUAGUUGCCAGCAGGUGUGUACCCGCGGCCUUGCCGGCAUCCCCUUUUAUGGAUGACGUUAUAUGUGAUGCCAUCCCCAACAUUAAGCUGGUCUCCAUCCAUGAUUUGGUCUGCAUCCACGAUUGACUUCGGUGUUAGCUAAGUAUGUUAUUACAGAAUUUAUGGUAUGAGUAGGUUUCAUUCCAUAACAGUUGAUGACACGAUCAUAACUUUUAGGUGUGAUGUUCUAUAGCUACCUCUGGUGGAGCCAUGGAGAUACCAUUUGGACAGCUCAUUAGUUCCAUUCUCGGACCAAUUCCUAAUGAUUGUUAUUGUUUUAUUCUAGAAUUGGAACUGCAUCCAUCUCAAAAUUUAAGCGAAGCAGUGUUAGAAAAUGUGCCUAUCUUACUUCCCUAUCUUUUUCCCUCUUGGUCAUGAUAUUCUUGAGGAUAUAGAUUAUGGUCGACUAGAUGUUAGCUAAGUAUGUUAUUACAGAAUUUAUGGUAUGAGUAGGUUUCAUUCCAUAACAGUUGAUGACACGAUCAUAACUUUUAGGUGUGAUGUUCUAUAGCUACCUCUGGUGGAGCCAUGGAGAUACCAUUUGGACAGCUCAUUAGUUCCAUUCUCGGACCAAUUCCUAAUGAUUGUUAUUGUUUUAUUCUAGAACUGGAACUGCAUCCAUCUCAAAAUUUAAGCUUAUACUUUUCAGCGAAGCAGUGUUAGAAAAUGUGCCUAUCUUACUUCCCUAUCUUUUUCCCUCUUGGUCAUGAUAUUCUUGAGGAUAUAGAUUAUGGUCGACUAGAUGCUCCGACCGUAUCAAUAUUAUGAGAUUCUAGACCCCAAAAGAUGUUUGGAUGCGAGAUCAUUCCUACUUCAGGUUUAUCAGAGUUUCUUUCUUGCCACUUCAUCUGAAGGACAUAUCAUAUCCUCAUUAACUGGUUAGAUUCUCACUGUAUCUCUUUCCAGUGUUGGCUUCUGAAUUUACUUCAUGUGUUAGUACUAAUAGAUGCCUUUAGAUUUUUCAAUGCUACAAAGAUAUUUGUUCUACUCUUGCAUUAGUUUCCUUUGUUGUGCCAACCAUUGUCCAUGCAGAUCUAGGAUUGCAGCAGUGCCAAAUAGACCUAACUUUGUACAUUUUGGUGUUGUUCACAAAAUGGAAGUCGUAGCUUAUAUCUCUCUCUCCUGACCGUUCUCUUAUGGACUGUUUUAUAAAAGGUCAGAUUAUUUGUUGUAGCCUGUAAAUGCUCUGUGUAAUGACUACAGGCUACAUGCAAUGGGUUCUUUAUAUUCCAGUACCACUCUCCUAUGGUUUUGUUCACCCUCCUUAGUCCUUAUUAACGCCAUAUCCCUCAAACAUUUCAGGAUUGACGAUGCAACUGUCACAAGAUAUGCCAUUUUUCCAAUAUCUGAACUAAGCUCAUAGUGAUUGGUGUGUAAAGGUUGGUGAUCUCAGAUUUCACAGACAUGACAGGUUCUCCCUAUAAUAUUAUCAGCAUAUAAACUUACUACCGAUAUUUCCGUAGAAAUCUUAUUUGCAUAUUUUUUGCUAUGAAUGAUCUGCAUCAAGAAGAUAAUACAUAAGUUCCUCUGCACUGAACAUUAGUAUAUGCUUGGCUAGGUUUCAUACUUCCCCAUGGAUGUCUUAUCUUUUAUCUUUUAAGUUCAUGUCUUCAGUCAUCAAGUUUCUAGAAAGUGUGCUUCAAUAUCUUUUUGGCUACUAAGACGAUAUAUAUUACUGUUGUCCAUGAAGAGUUGGCACUUCCUUCAUUAAAUUGUUUAUCAUAAAGAGAAAGUAGUUUUAUCUGAAUGUUUCCCUCUAGCAACUCAAGAGGUUCUAUUGCAGUUAUCAAAAGAGGUUGAUGCAUCUAAAAUUAACCUAGCUGUAUGCCAUAGGUUUACCAUCAUUCCAUAAAUAUGAUGUUGCAUUAUGUAUGAGUCUCACUAGGGCUUGGUCACAGGUGACAACUUCGGGCGACUCGCGAAAUGGGAGGCUGAUGACUUCGCAUUCUUUGUCUCCUUAUGAUGCCUUCUUUCCCUGUAGGUACCCCAUAAGUAUGUGUGAUGCCGGCCGUGGGCGAUGCCAGCAUCCGUCUUCCUCGCCUUCUCUGGUUCCGCAGCAUUAUCAUGGCAUCCAAGAUGUUUCUGCUCAACUGGCUCCUGGUCACGGCAGUUCCUCUGCCAGUGCAUCCAAGGCGAGGCAAACCUCCGGGUUGGGUGAGGUUGCGGACGAUCAGCUGGCCGUGCAGUUUCUCUUUUCUACAGCUAUCCAGGCCUGUUUGUCCGGCUGGUGUUAGUCCUUCAUUACCAGUGGUUGAUACUUCUUUCUCCGUCGGCCCGAGUUCUCCAUUGGCUUUAGGUGUUUUGUCUGAGGUGGAUUCUCGGAGGCGCCAGAUUUGGUUGAGGAAGUGGCCUGACAACCAUUGGAUAAUUUAUCCAGAGCAUUUGCAUGUUCAGAUGUUGAAGAACUUUCCAUCAAUAAGUUUGGCAGAAAUGGCUAUUCUCUAGCACAUCCUUUAAUAUAUCUAUAGAAACUAUUGGUACUGGAAGAUUACUUGGUGAUAGAUUGAACCCCAUGAGAAGUUAAAUGCAGAUCAACAUGAUUAGUUCACUUGCAAGAUCUUUUCUGCGGUUGUCCAUCCAUCUCAAAUUGUUGGAUUUCUAUUAUAUGUACCUUGCACAUUCGGUUGAUCUCACUGUUUUCUUUCUGCUGCUGAAAACAUCGAAUUCAUGAGCUCAUUCUAGCGUUCGAGUUUCUCAUGGCAAUAUUCUUAGGAUAACUGGCUCUGCAGUAAAAGUGUUGCCACUAUUUUGUAUUGGGACCUUUUGUGAUGAUGUGUCGUCUGUAUAAAGGCUAUGGAGCUGUUUUAA